rnacentral:tRNA from 1 species
GGGGUUGUAGCUCAGUGGUAGAGUGCUUGCCUAGCAUGCUUGAGAUACUGAGUUCAAUCCUCAGCACCACA